CCCCUAGAUGUUCUGGGCCGCACGCGUGCUACACUGAGUGGAUCAGCGGGUCAGGUUGCGCGAAAGUGUUUCCUAAUCUUUAAAUCCGCUCGUGAUGGGGAUUGACGGUUGCAAUUUUCCGUCAUGAACGAGGAAUACCUUGUAAGCGCGGGUCAUCAUCCCGCGCUGAAUACGUCCCUGCCCUUUGUACACACCGCCCGUCGCUCCUACCGAUUGAGUGGUCCGGUGAGGCUUUGGGAUCUGAGCGGAAAGAGCGUUUCGCUGUUUCUGCCCGGAAAACUCAGUCGAACCUUAUCAUUUAGAGGAAGGAGAAGUCGUAACA
rnacentral:rRNA from 1 species